UGAGUGCGAGCUGCUACGGCAGCGAAGUUGGUGACGUCAUGCUUCCAAGAAAAGCCCUAUACCCGUUAAGGCAUCAUGGCCUGUACCCGAAACCGACACAGGUGGGGUGGUAGAGAAUACCGAGGGGCGCGAGGUAACUCUCUCUAAGGAACUCGGCAAAAUGGCCCCGUAACUUCGGGAGAAGGGGUGCCACCGCAAGGCGGUCGCAGUGAAGAGGCCCAGGCGACUGUUUACCAAAAACACAGGUCUCCGCUAAGUCGCAAGACGAUGUAUGGGGGCUGACGCCUGCCCAGUGGCGGAAGGUUAAGGAAGCUGGUCAGCGCAAGCGAAGCUAGCGACUGAAGCCCCGGUGAACGGCGGCCGUAACGAUAACGGUCCUAAGGUAGCGAAAUUCCUUGUCGGGUAAGUUCCGACCCGCACGAAAGGCGUAACGAUCUGGGCGCUGUCUCGGAGAGAGGCUCGGCGAAAUAGAAUUGUCUGUGAAGAUGCGGACUACGUGCACCCGGACAGAAAGACCCUAUGAAGCUUUACUGUAGCUUGGUAUUGUGCCCGGGCUCGCAAUGCGCAGGAUAGGUGGGAGGCUUUGAUCAUCGGCUUGCGGGUCGAUGUGAGCCAACGGUGAGAUACCACUCUUUGCGAGCUAGGGUUCUAACGGCCACCCGUCAUCCGGGGGCCGGACAGUACCUGGUGGGCAGUUUGACUGGGGCGGUCGCCUCCUAAAAGGUAACGGAGGCGCGCAAAGGUUUGCUCAGGCUGGUUGGAAAUUAGCCGACGAGUGUAAAAGCAGAAGCAAGCUUGACUGUGAGACCAACAAGUCGAACAGGGAGGAAACUCGGCUUUAGUGAUCCGACGGUUCUGAGUGGAAGGGCCGUCGCUCGACGGAUAAAAGUUACUCUAGGAUAACAGGCUGAUCUCCCCCAAGAGUUCACAUCGACGGGGAGGUUUGGCACCUCGAUGUCGGCUCAUCGCAACCUGGGGCCGAAGUCGGUCCCAAGGGUUGGGCUGUUCGCCCAUUAAAGCGGUACGCGAGCUGGGUUCAGAACGUCGUGAGACAGUUCGGUCCAUAUCCGGUGCACGCGCAGGAAUAUUGAGAGGAUUUCUCCCUAGUACGAGAGGACCGGGAGGAACGCACCUCUGGUGUACCAGUUAUCGUGCCAACGGUAAACGCUGGGUAGCCAUGUGCGGAGUGGAUAACCGCUGAAAGCAUCUAAGUGGGAAGCCCACCUCAAGAUGAGUAUUCCCAUGGCGUAAGCCAGUAAGGUCACGGGAAGAACACCCGUUGAUAGGCUCUAUGUGGAAGCGCAGUAUUGCGUGAAGCAGAGGAGUACUAAUAGACCGAGGGCUUGACC
rnacentral:rRNA from 1 species